rnacentral:SRP_RNA from 1 species
AUAUGGGUCCUGUGCGACAAAAAACCGUGAACCAUGUCAGGCGGGGAACCGAGCAGCAUUAAGCGGUCUUUUUGGGUGCCGCAGACAAAUCUGUGUGCC